UUUUGUUCUAAGUAACAAAAAACAAAAUACAGGAAAUAGUAAUAUUAAUAAAAAUCAUAAUUAUGUUACUGCGAUUACUAUUAGUAGGCAGUGUGCUAAGUGGCUGUGUUUGUUUAAUCCUCACAAUAAAGCUAUGGCUUACAUAGCUCUCAUUUUACAAGGCAUAGAAAAACCAAGGCAUAGAAAAGCCAUACCUUAGGCCACCUGGUGAGGAAGUAGCAAAGCCAGGAUUCAAAUUAAGUCCGUGCAAUACCAGAGUCCCAUCUCCUAAAGCAAAAUCCUAUACUCCCUUGAUCUCCCCCAGCUAGGAGCAAGGGUAGCAGUGGUAGUAAUAGUAUUAUCAUCAUUCAUUCAUUCAUUCAUUCAUUCAUUCAUUCAAAAGAUUACUGAGUGCCUAAUAUGUGCCAGUGUCUGCCAGCUACUUGGAGAUUGCAGUGAACGUAGCAAACAGAGCCACCAACCUCGCCCUGCUUACGGUCUGUUAGGGAGGGCAAUUAUUCAGGUGGUAGUUACCCUACCCUAGAGCACACAGAGUGUUACACUGGUGGGAUUCCAGGGUGCCACACCACUGUGUGUUCUCUGUCCUUCUAGUACUUUCUAUUCACCUUUAUUGACCUCGAUACAUUGAAAGGCGAAUAUUUGUGUAUGUGCUGGCUUCGCCCCUUAGACAUCGGGCUCCGUGAGAACUGGCAUCUUAUUUACUUUUAUGUCCCUAGAAACGAACGUAUUUCCAGAGAACAUAGUAGGUGCCUAAUAAAUGUUUUUUGAAUGAUUAUUAUAGCUUGUUUCUAAUUAAGGUAAGCAAUUUCUGUGUCACUCUUCUGUUACUCUCAAUGAUAUAUUAUUUUAAAAUGAGAAUGUUAAUUAUGUGAUUUAUGCUAAUCAACCUAAUUUCUCAGAAUUAAGAAUAAUGUAGUUCAUUCACUCUCUCAUUCAACAAAUGCUUUCUUCACUUACCACACACAAAAAUAUUAGUUUGAAUAUUGCAGGAAGGACAGAAAUAAAUUAGGUGCUGAGCUCACAUUCAGGAUUUUGAGUCUAAUAGAAAAGGUAAGGUAAUGUCAUAAACAAUACUGCAGUGACGGUUCAGGAACUGUGUGUGUGUGUGUGUGUGUGUGUGUGUGUGUGUGUGUGUGUGUGUAUGCGUGUUGUUACUGCUGCAAGAAGUUCUACAGCCACCCUUGGAAAGAAUGACUUUAUUGGAAGGAAUGGGGCAGUGACUCAUUCUCCUAGAAGAAGGCUGGGCUGUCUUUCAGUCCUUCCUAAUGACCAUCGAGCUUUGCAAAUGAAUCAUCGGAGUGUGGAAGGAACCCUCUGUGUCGGAUGAUCUUUCAGGGCAAGGGAGACAUAGUUUGCAGUGUGGGGGUAGGUAUUGGACCCCACUUGAAUUCAGAGGCUCUGAUGCAGAAAGGCCUCAGAGGAGGAUGGCUGUGUGGGUACCCGGAUGGACUGACACUAGGGCUCAGGCCUCAGGAAUCUGAACAGAAGGUGAGUCAUAACCAAGCUGGUAAUGGGGCAAUGAAGUCAUGCUCAAAGCCGCCCUCCUUCCAAAGACCAGGCUGGCCGAGGCAGGGAUUCACCGUGAAGCAAUAGUGAUGGGCAGAGGUGGGAAGACCCCAACAGCUCAGCAGUGAUGCUGGACUGGCAGCUGGUGUCAGGGGCAGACCAUGAUGCCAGAGUUCUUCCCAGUCAGGCCUUCAGGGGUCCAGAGCUCUGCAAAGUUUAGGAAACUUCCACCUACUUCCCCUAUAUGUAAAUCAAAGUCAACAUAACACUAAGCCGUAAAAUGUAAAACUUUGUGUGUGCUAAAAUCAAAUACCCUCUUUCUGUAUUUUCAGAUGAAAAAAAAAAAGAAAAACAUGAACCUUCUUCGUCUUGCUGAUGCCCCGGUUUUGCUGGUGGGUGAGCCUUUGCCUACUUACUCUGUGUAAAGGAUCCAGCCCUUUGUCCGGAAUGUUUCCUGUAUGCGUCCUGCCAGUCAGCGGGCCGGGCUGUCGCUGUCAGACUGUGUGUCUACAGCAGACUCCUGGAGAAACAACAUGCUUAUGUCACGAGCCACGUCUGUCAUGGCAGGAUCCAUGUUUCUCCUCAGGUUAAUCAUAUCUGAUGCAGGCACCAGGGCUCCCCACCUUAAAAGCAAGGAUACCAGCUUGGGAAGAGGUGCCUUAAAGAUCAAAACCAGGUCUGCGGCAGUGACAUAUGGGUUUGUGAAUCGGGAAUGGCAGCGUCAAAUCUCUCCUGAAGCGAGGAGACAGCCGUUGGCUGGCAGAAACGGAGCAUGGGGCGUUGCUGGCUCCAAUGAGGGAGACACGAUUUGCAAAGCGGCCAUGUUCACGGGCGGUGUUCCAUGAAGUCCUGUAUAGAACGCUAGAAAAAUCAUUGAGGAAGGAACAGGUGACGUGUGAGAUACAAGCAGGUCUGUAAGUUCGGAGACGAGAGCAGAAAAGAGUUGCCUCUUCCCACCUUUCACUUUGAGGAGAGAUGGUUUGGCUCUGGACGGGCUGGGUGGUUUUUGUUUCUAUUAAGGAUAACAAGGGAGCAGGAGCUAAGAACUGAGAUUCAAACCUGGUAAGAUGAUGAUGGUGAUGAUGAUAAUCAUCAUCAUCAUCAUCAUCAUCACUAUGUUCAUUUAGGGACCUUAAAAUAAUUAUUGUUUAGAGGCUCAAAUAAUAAUAACAAAAUAGUAACAUAUUACUUAACAUUUAUUGGUACUUAUUAUGUGCUAGUCAGUCUCUCUUAAUCCAUUUAAUCCUCAUUUAAAACCAUGCUAGAACUUUUCACCACUCAAUUAUUCCUUGACAUAUUGAACGCUUAUUUAGCCCGCACUCUGUGACACACGGUUCUAGCUAUUUCUCACAACAGUAAGAGGCAGGUGCGGUCAUCCUCUUGCAGACACUCAGAGAGGGUAAGUGGUUUCCCGAAGCCAUCCGGCUAGUGGCUGGCAGGAGCUUCGAAUUCAUAUCCAGCUCAUAAUUUUUCCUUCAUCCCAGACUACCUCUCAACCCACGCCCCUCACCCCCCAACCCGAUGUUUCAGCGUCUAUCAGUACAGGAGCCCUUGGGGAAGUCCCCAAGCUCACUGUCCCCUCAUUUGUGUCAUUAUCCUUUGUGCUGAGAAGUUAAAUGAGAGAUGACAUCAAAUUCCUCAGAUGACACAGAAGUACAUUCCACUUGAAUCGUGCCCAGUGUGUUUCUCUUUAUACUGGAACCUCAAUAAUAUAGUAAUCCAGUCAUUCGUUUUCAUCAGGAUUUAAGUAACAUACAGUCCACAACUACGUGUGUGGUGAACGUAGUAUAGUGUUGUCAAAUCAAAAUGUUGUACACUUGAAACUAGUGUAACACUGUAUGUCUGUACUUCACUUUUAUAGACAUACGUAUAUACAUACAUCUGUAUACACACACACACAGAUACACACACGCACAGCUAGAUAUAAAAAUAGCACUAAGAAUCAUGGCUUUGGAUCUGUUCGUGUUUCCCUAAAGCACAAGCUUUCCCUGCCUGUGGUGUCAACAAACAUCUUCCUAUCUAAGGGCUGAGGAAUGGAAGGUACAGAUAACCUAACAGGAACCAUACUUAGGGAGUCUUGAACAGCCCCUAUGUUACAGUCAUUUCCUUUAUGUCACUGGGGAAAUUCAAAAUAGAAGUUCAUUGUGAUUUCAGAUAUUCAUCAAGGAUGUGCUUAUAGAAAAACCUAUCUGGUGUAGUAAAAUUAGGAUGAUACAAUCUUUCUGAUCAUUUCAUGCCUGUCACUGAAAUGUAUUUUGUGGAAAGUCUGAUGAAAUCAGCCACAACUUUUUUAAAGAAACAAUCCCAUCUACGGUUUAGACUAUGUAUGUUUAGACAUGUGUAACAGUGAAAGUGAAUUAGAAAGUACUUGGUAAACUUUAUUGUUUUCUCCCAUAACUAUGUCUAUAAGCAAACUAAAUUCAAUGACCUCUUUUACUAAACUCUUCCAGAAUUCUAUUGGUUUCGUAUUUACAUCCAUUCUUCUUUCAUUAAAUAAAUGAAUGUAUAAUCACGA